GACGAACGCUGGCGGCGUGCUUAACACAUGCAAGUCGAACGGAAAGGCCCUGCUUUUGUGGGGUGCUCGAGUGGCGAACGGGUGAGUAACACGUGAGUAACCUGCCCUUGACUUUGGGAUAACUUCAGGAAACUGGGGCUAAUACCGGAUAGGAGCUACUGCUGCAUGGUGGGGGUUGGAAAGUUUCGGCGGUUGGGGAUGGACUCGCGGCUUAUCAGCUUGUUGGUGGGGUAGUGGCUUACCAAGGCUUUGACGGGUAGCCGGCCUGGGAGGGUGACCGGCCACAUUGGGACUGAGAUACGGCCCAGACUCCUACGGGAGGCAGCAGUGGGGAAUAUUGCACAAUGGGCGGAAGCCUGAUGCAGCAACGCCGCGUGCGGGAUGACGGCCUUCGGGUUGUAAACCGCUUUCGCCUGUGACGAAGCGUGAGUGACGGUAAUGGGUAAAGAAGCACCGGCUAACUACGUG
rnacentral:rRNA from 1 species